rnacentral:rRNA from 1 species
GGAGCAUGCUUGUUUGAGUAUCAGUAAACACCUCAAAUCCUUCAAUUGUUUUGAAGGCUUUGGACUUGAGCAAUCCCAACACCAGUCUUUACGAUCGGUGGAGGGUUGCUUGAAAAUGCAGGUGCAGCUGGACAUUCUCCUGAGCUAUAAGCAUAUUUAUUUAGUCCCGUCAAACGGAUUAUUACUUUUGCUGCAGCUAACAUAAAGGGAGUCUGACCAUAUUGGCUGACUGAUGCAGGAUUUCACAAGGGUCGGCAACGAUUCUUGUAAAACUCGAUCUCAAAUCAAGUAAGACUACCCGCUGAACUUAA